rnacentral:rRNA from 1 species
AUACGUAGGGGGCGAGCGUUGUCCGGAAUGAUUGGGCGUAAAGGGCGCGUAGGCGGCCCGGUAAGUCUGGAGUGAAAGUCCUGUUUUUAAGAUGGGAAUUGCUUUGGAUACUGUCGGGCUUGAGUGCAGGAGAGGUAAGUGGAAUUCCCAGUGUAGCGGUGAAAUGCGUAGAGAUUGGGAGGAACACCAGUGGCGAAGGCGACUUACUGGACUGUAACUGACGCUGAGGCGCGAGAGUGUGGGGAGCAAACAGGAUUAGAUACCCUGGUAGUCCACACUGUAAAGGAUGAAUGCUAGGUGUAGGGGGUAUCGACCCCUUCUGUGCCGCAGUCAACACAAUAAGCAUUCCGCCUGGGGAGUACGGCCGCAAGGUUGAAACUCAAAUGAAUUGACGGGG